AAUAUACUGAAGUUGGCGGAGCUAUUCUGUAAUAGGAACAGAAGCAUUGGGGAUCUGGUGCUCCUCCCACCGUUGGAAGGAAGAGAACAGCCCCAUAAGCUGUCCUUGGGAUCAGCAGUUGUCAGGAGCAGAAGGAGGAGGCAGAAAAGACUUUUCUCCUGCAGGGAAGAGGGCUCCUCACCGUCAGCUCUGCACUCGCAGGCUGUGCCUUCCCUGUUGAAAGUCCUUCAAUUGCAAGUGAAAUCAAUUUUCCUGAAAGCCUCCCCUGAGCCUCCUCUGCAGGUACCAACUAUCAUACCAGUGUUUCAUGAUUGCAGGCCAUUGAAUAAUUGGCACAACUCAUCUCUCUGCCUCCUCCUCUUUUCUGGUUCCUUCACUCCUAUGGAAAACAUGCUGUCUCACUCUGCGCCACUUCCAGGCACCCAUCCGAGUUUGACUACACUCUCCUUGGACAAAAGGCAGAUGGCUGGGAGCAGAAAGGAAAUAUUUUGCUCUGCUCAAACAAAUAAAUAAAGGCAGA
rnacentral:lncRNA from 1 species